AGGACGAACGCUGGCGGCGUGCUUAACACAUGCAAGUCGAGCGGUAAGGCCCUUCGGGGUACACGAGUGGCGAACGGGUGAGUAACACGUGGGUGAUCUGCCCUGCACUUCGGGAUAAGCUUGGGAAACUGGGUCUAAUACCGGAUAUGACUACGAAUCGCAUGGUUUGUGGUGGAAAGCUUUUGCGGUGUGGGAUGGGCCCGCGGCCUAUCAGCUUGUUGGUGGGGUGAUGGCCUACCAAGGCGACGACGGGUAGCCGGCCUGAGAGGGUGUCCGGCCACACUGGGACUGAGAUACGGCCCAGACUCCUACGGGAGGCAGCAGUGGGGAAUAUUGCACAAUGGGCGCAAGCCUGAUGCAGCGACGCCGCGUGAGGGAUGACGGCCUUCGGGUUGUAACCUCUUUCAGUAUCGACGAAGCGCAAGUGACGGUAGGUACAGAAGAAGGACCGGCCAACGUACGCGCCAGCAGCCGCGGUAA
rnacentral:rRNA from 1 species